rnacentral:rRNA from 1 species
CCUACGGGAGGCUGCAGUCGAGAAUCAUUCACAAUGGGGGAAACCCUGAUGGUGCGACGCCGCGUGGGGGAAUGAAGGUCUUCGGAUUGUAAACCCCUGUCAUGUGGGAGCAAAUUAAAAAGAUAGUACCACAAGAGGAAGAGACGGCUAACUCUGUGCCAGCAGCCGCGGUAAUACAGAGGUCUCAAGCGUUGUUCGGAAUCACUGGGCGUAAGGCGUGCGUAGGCUGUUUCGUAGGUCGUGUGUGAAAGGCGCGGGCUCAACCCGCGGACGGCACAUGAUACUGCGAGACUAGAGUAAUGGAGGGGGAACCGGAAUUCUCGGUGUAGCAGUGAAAUGCGUAGAUAGCGAGAGGAACACUCGUGGCGAAGGCGGGUUCCUGGACAUUAACUGACGCUGAGGCACGAAGGCCAGGGGAGCGAAAGGGAUUAGAUACCCCAGUAGUC